rnacentral:rRNA from 1 species
UACGUAGGGUGCGAGCGUUGUCCGGAAUUAUUGGGCGUAAAGAGCUCGUAGACGGUCUGUCGCGUCGGUCGUGAAAACUUGGGGCUUAACCCUGAGCUUGCGGUCGGUACGGGCAUGACUGGAGUUCGGUAGGGGAGACUGGAAUUCCUGGUGUAGCGGUGAAAUGCGCAGAUAUCAGGAGGAACACCGGUGGCGAAGGCGGGUCUCUGGGCCGAUACUGACGCUGAGGAGCGAAAGCGUGGGGAGCGAGCAGG